rnacentral:rRNA from 1 species
CCUACGGGUGGCAGCAGUGGGGAAUAUUGCACAAUGGGCGAAAGCCUGAUGCAGCAACGCCGCGUGAAUGAAGAAGGGUUUCGGCUCGUAAACUUCUAUUAACAGGGACGAACGAAAUUACGGUACCUGAAUAAGAAGCCCAGGCUAACUACGUGCCAGCAGCCGCGGUAAUACGUAGGGGGCAAGCGUGAUCCGGAAUUACUGGGUGUAAAGGUUGAGUAUGCUGCAUGGUAAGCCAGAUGUGAAAGUCUUGGGCUUAACCCGAGGAUUGCAUUUGGAACUAUCAAGCUAGAGUGCAGGAGAGGAAAGCGGAAUUCCUGGUGUAGCGGUGAAAUGCGUAGAUAUAAGGAAGAACACCAGUGGCGAAGGCGGCUUUCUGGACUGAAACUGACGCUGAGGCACGAAAGCGUGGGGAGCGAACAGGAUUAGAUACCCGAGUAGUC